GUUUAAAAGUAUGUUCUGCUAUCACUCUUGGGAUGGGACCUGCGGUGCAUUUAGCUAGUUGGUAGGUAACGGCCUACCAAGGCGAUGAUGCAUAGCCGAGUUGAGAGACUGAUCGGCCACAUUGGGACUGAGACACGGCCCAAACUCCUACGAGAGGCAGCAGUAGGGAAUCUUCCACAAUGGACGCAAGUCUGAUGGAGCAACGCCGCGUGAGUGAAGAAGGGUUUCGGCUCGUAAAGCUCUGUUGUUGGUGAAGAAGGACAGGGGUAGCAACUGACCUUUGUUUGACGGUAAUCAAUUAGAAAGUCACGGCUAACUACGUGCCAGCAGCCGCGGUAAU
rnacentral:rRNA from 1 species